CACCAACCUGUGUUCCAUUUAACAUUUCACACUUCUGUCUUUCAGACUCCAAAACACCAAAUGAAGGGACUGACUUGGGAGUAAUAUUUCACUGAGUAGCCUGAAGACUGUAAUCAACCUCUUAGGUUAAACUACAAAACACGCCUUCACACAGCAAAUGACUGAAGCUUUUAUAUGACCCAGCAGUGAACAAGCACAAUGGGACAGGUGUCUCACACUCAAGGGGACGCCACCCAUCGGGAAUCUGCAAUGGGUCAGAUGACUUCUUCCCUCUGAAGUCAGCUUAAGGAAUAGUUCUAAGACAUGCACGACGACAACAAAACGUUAUAAAUGAGUUCAGGGACGAGUUUGUUUGUGAUGCUUGGAAAACCCGAGAACCCAGAGAGGAGCAGUCAGCAGUGCCGAGACUGGCAAGGAGGUGAAACUGAUCUCAGCAGGUGGAGAGGCUCGGUAUACUCCAGAAAAAAGAGUGUGCGUAUCCUACAAAGCCAACCCUCUCUCUGCUACUUCCUCCCCAUGUGUGCCUAGGCUGGAACUCAGGGUCUUGCACAUGGUAGGCAAGUGCCCUCCUCUGAGAUAUUUAACACUUUAGUGGAACCCCAGUUCAAAUGUCAACAGUUCUUCUGCAGUAAGAUAACCAACUCAAGGUUCUAGCCUACAGCAGCUUUGAGGCUGCAAUUGCUUGAGUAGAGCACACAGCCACAAUUACAAGGAUGUGAGGAAUCAAGGUUCUCCCAUUUAAUAAGAGAUAAAACAGAAAAGCUAAGAAAAUGAAACACGGUAUAAAAUCUAAAUAGAAACAAUAAAUGAAUCACAAUUU
rnacentral:lncRNA from 1 species